rnacentral:rRNA from 1 species
GACGAACGCUGGCGGCGUGCCUAAUACAUGCCAGUAGAACGCACAGUUUAUACCGUAGCUUGCUACACCAUAGACUGUGAGUUGCGAACGGGUGAGUAACGCGUAGGUAACCUGCCUGGUAGCGGGGGAUAACUAUUGGAAACGAUAGCUAAUACCGCAUAAUAUUGAUUAUUGCAUGAUAAUUGAUUGAAAGAUGCUAUUGCAUCACUACCAGAUGGACCUGCGUUGUAUUAGCUAGUAGGUGAGGUAACGGCUCACCUAGGCGACGAUACAUAGCCGACCUGAGAGGGUGAUCGGCCAAACUGGGACUGAGACACGGCCCAGACUCCUACGGGAGGCAGCAGUAGGGAAUCUUCGGCAAUGGACGAAAGUCUGACCGAGCAACGCCGCGUGAGUGAAGAAGGUUUUCGGAUCGUAAAGCUCUGUUGUAAGAGAAGAACGGGUGUGAGAGUGGAAAGUUCACACUGUGACGGUAUCUUACCAGAAAGGGACGGCUAACUACGUG